rnacentral:rRNA from 1 species
GGUGAUAUGAACCGUUAUAACCGGCGAUUUCCGAAUGGGGAAACCCAGUGUGUUUCGACACACUAUCAUUAACUGAAUCCAUAGGUUAAUGAGGCGAACCGGGGGAACUGAAACAUCUAAGUACCCCGAGGAAAAGAAAUCAACCGAGAUUCCCCCAGUAGCGGCGAGCGAACGGGGAGCAGCCCAGAGCCUGAAUCAGUGUGUGUGUUAGUGGAAGCGUCUGGAAAGGCGCGCGAUACAGGGUGACAGCCCCGUACACAAAAAUGCACAUGCUGUGAGCUCGAUGAGUAGGGCGGGACACGUGGUAUCCUGUCUGAAUAUGGGGGGACCAUCCUCCAAGGCUAAAUACUCCUGACUGACCGAUAGUGAACCAGUACCGUGAGGGAAAGGCGAAAAGAACCCCGGCGAGGGGAGUGAAAAAGAACCUGAAACCGUGUACGUACAAGCAGUGGGAGCACGCUUAGGCGUGUGACUGCGUACCUUUUGUAUAAUGGGUCAGCGACUUAUAUUCUGUAGCAAGGUUAACCGAAUAGGGGAGCCGAAGGGAAACCGAGUCUUAACUGGGCGUUAAGUUGCAGGGUAUAGACCCGAAACCCGGUGAUCUAGCCAUGGGCAGGUUGAAGGUUGGGUAACACUAACUGGAGGACCGAACCGACUAAUGUUGAAAAAUUAGCGGAUGACUUGUGGCUGGGGGUGAAAGGCCAAUCAAACCGGGAGAUAGCUGGUUCUCCCCGAAAGCUAUUUAGGUAGCGCCUCGUGAAUUCAUCUCCGGGGGUAGAGCACUGUUUCGGCAAGGGGGUCAUCCCGACUUACCAACCCGAUGCAAACUGCGAAUACCGGAGAAUGUUAUCACGGGAGACACACGGCGGGUGCUAACGUCCGUCGUGAAGAGGGAAACAACCCAGACCGCCAGCUAAGGUCCCAAAGUCAUGGUUAAGUGGGAAACGAUGUGGGAAGGCCCAGACAGCCAGGAUGUUGGCUUAGAAGCAGCCAUCAUUUAAAGAAAGCGUAAUAGCUCACUGGUCGAGUCGGCCUGCGCGGAAGAUGUAACGGGGCUAAACCAUGCACCGAAGCUGCGGCAGCGACGCUUAUGCGUUGUUGGGUAGGGGAGCGUUCUGUAAGCCUGUGAAGGUGUGCUGUGAGGCAUGCUGGAGGUAUCAGAAGUGCGAAUGCUGACAUAAGUAACGAUAAAGCGGGUGAAAAGCCCGCUCGCCGGAAGACCAAGGGUUCCUGUCCAACGUUAAUCGGGGCAGGGUGAGUCGACCCCUAAGGCGAGGCCGAAAGGCGUAGUCGAUGGGAAACAGGUUAAUAUUCCUGUACUUGGUGUUACUGCGAAGGGGGGACGGAGAAGGCUAUGUUGGCCGGGCGACGGUUGUCCCGGUUUAAGCGUGUAGGCUGGUUUUCCAGGCAAAUCCGGAAAAUCAAGGCUGAGGCGUGAUGACGAGGCACUACGGUGCUGAAGCAACAAAUGCCCUGCUUCCAGGAAAAGCCUCUAAGCAUCAGGUAACAUCAAAUCGUACCCCAAACCGACACAGGUGGUCAGGUAGAGAAUACCAAGGCGCUUGAGAGAACUCGGGUGAAGGAACUAGGCAAAAUGGUGCCGUAACU